rnacentral:rRNA from 1 species
GAGUUUGAUCAUGGCUCAGGGUGAACGCUGGCGGCGUGCCUAAGACAUGCAAGUCGAGCGGGGCAGGUUUAUACCUGUUCAGCGGCGGACGGGUGAGUAACGCGUGGGUGACCUACCCGGAAGAGGCGGACAACCUGGGGAAACCCAGGCUAAUCCGCCAUGUGGUCCUAUCCUGUGGGGUAGGACUAAAGGGGCGACCCGCUUCCGGAUGGGCCCGCGUCCCAUCAGCUAGUUGGUGGGGUAAAGGCCCACCAAGGCGACGACGGGUAGCCGGUCUGAGAGGAUGGCCGGCCACAGGGGCACUGAGACGCGGGCCCCACUCCUACGGGAGGCAGCAGUUAGGAAUCUUCCGCAAUGGACGGAAGUCCGACGGAGCGACGCCGCUUGGAGGAGGAAGCCCUUCGGGGUGUAAACUCCUGAACUGGGGACGAAAGCCCUGUGUAGGGGGAUGACGGUACCCAGGUAAUAGCGCCGGCCAACUCCGUGCCAGCAGCCGCGGUAAUACGGAGGGCGCGAGCGUUACCCGGAUUUACUGGGCAUAAAGGGCGUGUAGGCGGCCUGGGGCGUCCCAUGUGAAAGGCCACGGCUCAACCGUGGAGGAGCGUGGGAUACGCUCAGGCUAGAGGGUGGGAGAGGGUGGUGGAAUUCCCGGAGUAGCGGUGAAAUGCGCAGAUACCGGGAGGAACGCCGAUGGCGAAGGCAGCCACCUGGUCCACUUCUGACGCUGAGGCGCGAAAGCGUGGGGAGCAAACCGGAUUAGAUACCCUGGUAGUC